GGGAGGCGGUACCACAGAGGAUAGAGUCUGAGCCACCUCUUUUAUCUGUUGCUGCCGCUACCCUGCCCCCACACCACAGGCUGCAGUCAAACCCCCACCUGAAAGAGGGGUCCGUGACCUCCGUGAACCUGACUAAGCUAGAGGGUGGCGUGGCCUAUAACGUGAUACCUGCCACCAUGAGCGCCAGCUUUGACUUCCGUGUGGCACCGGAUGUGGACUUCAAGGCUUUUGAGGAGCAGCUGCAGAGCUGGUGCCAGGCAGCUGGCGAGGGGGUCACCCUAGAGUUUGCUCAGGUAUGGACUUGGGACAUGUGAUGGGAGAGUGUGGGAGCCGGGGGAGACCCAAGUGUGCAACAGUGGAGUGUGUGCUUGGUGUGUCUGCAUAUGUCUGGGCAUUUCUUUAUCUGUGACAGACACAUUUUAUUCCAACAAGCAUUCAUUGUAGAGGCCACUGUGGGUGCUGGGGAAUGCUGUGGGGAGUAAAAUUAGGCACAGUUCAUGCCCUUGUAUGGUGAAACGGGGAGAUAUAAAUCAAACAUUUAUGUGAUAUUACUUUUUUCUGAGAGAAUCUCACUCCGUCACCCAGGCUGCAGUGCAGUGGCACAAUCUCGGCUCACCUCCGCCUCCCGGGUUCAAGCAAUUCUUGUGCCUCAGCCUCCAGAGUAGUUGGGAUUACAGGCACCUGCCACCACGCCCAGCUAAUUUUUGCAUUUUUAGUAGAGACAGUGUUUCACCAUGUUGGCCAGGCUUGUCUCGAACUCCUGGCCUCAAGUGAUCCACCCACCUUGGCCUCGCAAAAUGCUGGGAUUACAGGCAUGAGCCACUGCGCCCAGCCGUACUUUCAUAUAACCCAUGUGGUACAGGAAAGGGUGGCCCCUUGCACUCUGAAAACCUGUAACUGGAGUAUCCAACUAGUCUGAGAGGUCUGGGGGAGCCAUCUUGAGGAAGGGGCACUUGGGCUAGGAUCUGAAGGAUGGACAGGAGGUAAGUAGACGGAGGGUGGGAAGGUCCCAGACCUAGGACAUUUGAGGGGCUGAAAGAGGACCUGUGGCUGGACUGGCUACCCAGAUGUCUGGGUAGGUGAAGGAGUGGGGGUGGGGAGGUGUUAUGUACUAGGCACAGCCCACUCUAUGGGAAAUAGGGCAAGAUGCCCAGGCCCAUGUCCUGAUCCUGCCAUUCUUCCUGUCCCUCAGAAGUGGAUGCACCCCCAAGUGACACCUACUGAUGACUCAAACCCUUGGUGGGCAGCUUUUAGCCGGGUCUGCAAGGAUAUGUGAGCACGCUGGCCAGCUCUCCUCACAGCCCAGCCCCCUACUCCUCUCCUUCCUGCUGCCCCCUCCCUUCUCCCUCCUUCUCCCACCUCUUUCCCACCUUCCUUUGCCCCUUCAAUUCUUCGCUUUCUCCCUCCCCAUUCAUCAGGCUCUUUCUCCUACAGGAACCUCACUCUGGAGCCUGAGAUCAUGCCUGCUGCCACUGACAACCGCUAUAU
rnacentral:lncRNA from 1 species